UUGAGGAUUUAAUUUCUCUAAAUCUCUUUUUAAAGAUUUCAUGGGUGCCUGGUGUGCAAUGGCUGCAAACAUCCUCCUUGGUAGUGUACGCAACCUGUUCCUUGUAUAGAUUGCCCUGAGGGGCCUUGGAGACAGUC